GUGAGUAACAGGUGGGUAACGUGCCUCUUAGUGUGGGAUAACCUCUGGAAACAGUGGCUAAUACCUCAUGUGGCACGGAUAACGUUGGUUAACCGUGUUAAAGACUUCGGUCGCUAAGAGAGCGGCCCGCCCCCGAUUAGCUUGUUGGUAGGGUAACGGCCUACCAAGGCUCCGAUCGGUAGGUGGCCUGAGAGGGUGGUCACUCACACUGGGACUGAGAUACGGCCCAGACUCCUACGGGGGGCAGCAGUCUAGAAGCUUCCACAAUGGACGAAAGUCUGAUGGAGCGACGCCGCGUGUGGGAUGACAGCCGUGAGGUUGUAAACCACUGUCAGCAGGGAAGAAUGCCUUGAUGGUGAAUCAGGGAGAGACGGUACCUGCAGAGGAAGCCCCGGCUAACUCCGUGCCAGCAGCCGCGGUAAUACGGAGGGGGCAAACGUUGUUCGGAUUUACUGGGCGUAAAGGGUGUCUAGGCGGUUCGAUUAGUCUGGUGUGAAAUAUCCUCGCUCAACGAGGAAGACGCAUUGGAAACUGUCGAGCUCGAGAGUGGAAGAGGCAGGUGGAAUUCCUGGUGUAGCGGUGGAAUGCGUAGAUAUCAGGAAGAACACUCGUGGCGAAGGCGGCCUGCUGGUCCAUUUCUGACGCUGAAGCACGAAAGCCAGGGGAGCGAACGGGAUUAGAUACCCCGGUAGUCCUGGCCGUAAACGUUGAACACUGGAUGUCGGGGGUAUCGACCCCCUCGGUGUGGGAGCUAACGCGUUAAGUGUUCCGCGUGGGGAGUACGACCGCAAGGUUGAAACUCAAAGGAAUUGCCGGGGGCCCGCACAAGCGGUGGAGGAUGUGGUUUAAUUCGACGCAACGCGAAGAACCUUACCUGGGCUUAACCCGCAGGGUAAACCCUCUGAAAGGAGGGCUGGUUCGGCAAUCCUGUAGAGGUGAUGCAUGGCUGUCGUCAGCGUCGUGUCUGUGAGAUGUUGGGUUAAGUCCCGCAACGAGCGCAACCCUUGCUCUUAGUUACCAGCGCGUAAUGGCGGGGACUCUAAGAGGCCUGCCCUCGCAAGGGGGAGGAAGGUGGGGAUGACGUCAAGUCCUCAUGGCCCUUAUGUCCAGGGCUACACACGUCUUACAAUGGCCGGUACAAAAGGGCUGCAAGACUCGCGAGAGUUAGCUAAUCCCAAAAAGCCGGUCCCAGUUCGGAUU
rnacentral:rRNA from 1 species